rnacentral:SRP_RNA from 1 species
GAUGGGCAUAGUAUCUCGUGCCUGUAGUCCCAGCUUCUCUGGAGGCUGAGGCAAGAGGAUAACUUGAGUCCGGGAGUUCUGGGCUGUAGUGUGCUAUGCCAAUCGGGGGUCUGCACUAAGUUCAGCAUCACUAUGGUGACCUUCCUGGAGCAGACAGACCACCAGGUUGCCCAAGCAGGGGUAAAAAGACCCAUGUUGGAAAUAGAGCAGGUCAAAACUCCCAUGCUGAUCAUGGGACCAUGAUCAUAGUGGGACCAUGCCUAGGAAAUAAGCGAGACCCUGUCUU